GAUGAACGCUGGCGGCGUGCCUAAUACAUGCAAGUCGAGCGAACAGAUGAGGAGCUUGCUCCUCUGACGUUAGCGGCGGACGGGUGAGUAACACGUGGAUAACCUACCUAUAAGACUGGGAUAACUUCGGGAAACCGGAGCUAAUACCGGAUAAUAUAUUGAACCGCAUGGUUCAAUAGUGAAAUACGGUUUUGCUGUCACUUAUAGAUGGAUCCGCGCCGCAUUAGCUAGUUGGUAAGGUAACGGCUUACCAAGGCAACGAUGCGUAGCCGACCUGAGAGGGUGAUCGGCCACACUGGAACUGAGACACGGUCCAGACUCCUACGGGAGGCAGCAGUAGGGAAUCUUCCGCAAUGGGCGAAAGCUUGACGGAGCAACGCCGCGUGAGUGAUGAAGGUCUUCGGAUCGUAAAACUCUGUUAUUAGGGAAGAACAAAUGUGUAAGUAACUAUGCACGUAUUGACGGUACCUAAUCAGAAAGCCACGGCUAACUACGUG
rnacentral:rRNA from 1 species